UGCAAGUCGAACGAUGAAAUCCUCUGCUUGCAGAGGAUGGAUUAGUGGCGAACGGGUGAGUAACACGUGGGUAACCUGCCCAUAAGAGGGGGAUAACAUUCGGAAACGGAUGCUAAUACCGCAUAGGUCUUUGAGACGCCUGUCUCUUAGAUGAAAGGUGGCUUCGGCUGCCGCUUAUGGAUGGACCCGCGGCGUAUUAGCUAGUUGGUGAGGUAAUGGCUCACCAAGGCUGUGAUACGUAGCCGACCUGAGAGGGUGAUCGGCCACACUGGGACUGAGACACGGCCCAGACUCCUACGGGAGGCAGCAGUAGGGAAUCUUCCACAAUGGGUGAAAACCUGAUGGAGCAAUACCGCGUGAGUGAAGAAGGUCUUCGGAUCGUAAAGCUCUGUUGUUAGAGAAGAACAAGUCGGGUAGUAACUGCCCCGACCUUGACGGUAUCUAACCAGAAAGUCACGGCUAACUACGUGCCAGCAGCCGCGGUAAUACGUAGGUGACAAGCGUUGUCCGGAUUUAUUGGGCGUAAAGCGAGCGCAGGCGGUCUUUUAAGUCUGAUGUGAAAGCCCACGGCUCAACCGUGGAGGGUCAUUGGAAACUGGAAGACUUGAAUGCAGAAGAGGAAAGUGGAAUUCCAUGUGUAGCGGUGAAAUGCGUAGAUAUAUGGAGGAACACCAGUGGCGAAGGCGACUUUCUGGUCUGUAAUUGACGCUGAGGCUCGAAAGCGUGGGGAGCGAACAGGAUUAGAUACCCUGGUAGUCCACGCCGUAAACGAUGAGUGCUAAGUGUUGGAGGGUUUCCGCCCUUCAGUGCUGGAGCUAACGCAUUAAGCACUCCGCCUGGG
rnacentral:rRNA from 1 species